rnacentral:rRNA from 1 species
GACGAACGCUGGCGGCGUGCUUAACACAUGCAAGUCGAACGAAUUGGCGAACGGGUGAGUAAUACGUGGGAAACUGCCCUCCUUUUUGGGAUAAGCCUUGGAAACGGGGCCUAAUACCGAAUCAAGGGGGUUGGCGCGCGGCGAAUCAGUUUGUUGGUGUGGUGAUGGGCUACCACGGCGUUGACGGGUAGCCGGCCUGAGAGGGUGACCGGCCACCAUGGGCUGAGGUACGGCCCAGACUGUUACGGGGGGCAGCGGUGGGGGAUAUUGCGCAAUGGGGGAAACCCUGAUGCAGCUACGCCGCGUGCGGAAUGACGGCCUUCGGGUUGUAAACCGCUUUCAGCCAUGACGCGGUAGUGGCAGAAGAAGCACCGGCUAACUACGUGCCAGCAGCCGCGGUAAUUC